GACGAACGCUGGCGGCGUGCUUAACACAUGCAAGUCGAACGGUGAAGGGGCCUGCUUUUGUGGGCCCUGGAUGAGUGGCGAACGGGUGAGUAACACGUGAGUAACCUGCCCCCUUCUUCUGGAUAACCGCAUGAAAGUGUGGCUAAUACGGGAUAUUCUGGGUCUGUCGCAUGAUGGGUCUGGGAAAGAUUGCGCCUUUGGGUGUUUUUGGUGGGGGAUGGGCUCGCGGCCUAUCAGCUUGUUGGUGGGGUGAUGGCCUACCAAGGCGGUGACGGGUAGCCGGGAUGAGAGGGUGGAAGGUCACAAUGGGACUGAGACACGGACCAGAAUGCUACGGGAGGCAGCAGUGGGGAAUAUUGCACAAUGGGCGCAAGCCUGAUGCAGCGACGCCGCGUGAGGGAUGGAGGCCUUCGGGUUGUAAACCUCUUUCGCCAGUGAAGCAGGCCUGCUACUUGUGGGUGGGUUGACGGUAGCUGGAUAAGAAGCGCCGGCUAACUACGUG
rnacentral:rRNA from 1 species